AAAAUUAACGAUAGUUCCGCAUAAACACAAUCGAAAUAAUGCUGAAUUAACACAUAAUCAAGGUUUCAUCAAAUCUGAGCAGAGCAGGAGCUUAGAUACACAUAAUAAUCAUCUUAACAACACAUAAAUGGAGAUAAUACAUGAACCUGGAGCUCCAAGAUUCAAGAACUCUCCACCGUCGUAAAAUUCAGCAAUGCCAGCGAUGUCGAAUGGAAGUUCCGGAAUGGAUUUCUUCACCUCCGGGGCUCCGAAUUGUGUGCGGUUUGAAGUCGCACGUUUCUGGGUUGAAGGAGAACGUCUUGGGACAGAGUAACUAGGGUUAGAGGUCUGAUAUGGUGUGUGUGUGUGUGUAUGGUGCAUUUUAAAAGUGGAGAUGAGUUGCCCUUAUAUAGGCUAGAAAAUAGCGUAUUAAAGCCUCCGGCAUGGGCUUCAUCAGCUGUAUGCAAGGUGUAGCUGUCUAUGGAGUGAUGAUGGACAGAUCUACAUGUGAUGGACGUCCCUUUAUAUCGUUGGAUUCGUAAUUCAUCCCUUUAUAAUUGACACCUACUUCGAAUUCUGAUUUAGCUCCGGUUUGUAUCGUUGGAUUCAUAAUUCAUCCCUUUAUAAUUGUGUGACCUGAAAUGUCAUUAAAGACACUAGAAACAACAUAAUAUUGACCAUGAAGAUCCAAGGGUUGAAUUUAUGGAAUUAAGCAUAAUAGAACCAAUUUUCGUCGAAAUUUCCAGUUGCAAUUCAUAUUAUGGCAUUAAGAUUAGCAAAUUAAGUGUCAAUUAUGAUAUAGUUAUUAAGGGUCACUUAAAUGCAAAGAUUUGAGCCUUUUACGGGGCCAUGGUGCAUGGGCAUGCUCCCCUCCACGUAUCAUGCUAAGAAAAAUAACUAGGGGUAAGUCAGAUCUGGUUCAUUGAUGAUGGAGACAAGGAAUCGUCUAGGCAUGUCGUAUGUAGAAUGUGCAGCAACCUGUAGUAUGAACCAAAUAACAUGUCGAAUGAUCGAUGGGACAAAUAAAAAAGGUAUCAAAAUGACAAGCAAAUCCAAGAAAAAAUUAUGGUUAUCGUACCUAGUCCAACCACUAACGUAAGCGAGAGAGAAAUCCUAAGUGUCUUAUCAAAUGAAAGCUACGAAGAAAGGAUGAAGGCCUGACCUUGAUAAAUCCGGAUUCCUCUAGCCCCGCAAAGAUGUUUUAAGAACGAGGCGGAAACACACAACCAAUUAAGCCGAAAUAC
rnacentral:lncRNA from 1 species